rnacentral:rRNA from 1 species
UACGGAGGGAGCUAGCGUUGUUCGGAAUUACUGGGCGUAAAGCGCACGUAGGCGGCUUUGUAAGUUAGAGGUGAAAGCCCGGGGCUCAACCCCGGAAUUGCCUUUAAGACUGCAUCGCUUGAAUCCGGGAGAGGUGAGUGGAAUUCCGAGUGUAGAGGUGAAAUUCGUAGAUAUUCGGAAGAACACCAGUGGCGAAGACGGCUCACUGGACCGGUAUUGACGCUGAGGUGCGAAAGCGUGGGGAGCAAACAGG